rnacentral:tRNA from 1 species
GGGGAUUUGGCUCAGUGGUAGAGCGCUUGCCUAGCAAGCGCAAGGCCCUAGGUUCGAUCCCCAGCUCCG